AGGGAUGAGUGGAUAACGUAUUUCUAUAAAAAAAAAUUUGUAUUUUUAUGUUAGUUCAUGCACAUAAUUUAAACUAUUCACACGUAAAAAAAAAAAAAUCUAAACAUGUUUUAGUUCAUUAACCUUCAAGUAGUCUAAUUUAUGAUUUAUGAACUUAAUUUAUAGUCCUUUAGAGUUGAUUUGUUGAAAUUGUUUUUAUUAUAACCAGUAGGGGUCUCCUUUGAGCCUAAAUAAAGUUACUGAUCACGUGGAGUGAAACAGUCUUUAUAAAACAGAGCAUUGAGUUUGUGUUCGUUUAAAGUGGUUCAUUCUACACAUCCUGUUCAGACCUCACACACACUGCUGUUCAUUCAUGUCAUUCCUCCAGCACUGAAGCAUCAACAUGAUAUUUAUAGUGUGCUUCAUUUAUUUAGCAGCACCUCCAUUCUGGGUCUCAGGUGAAUCACUAAGUGAUCAAGUUCGUCAGAAUCCACCUCAUCUGAUAACAAGAGCUGAGAAAACAGUUCAGCUCAGCUGUUCUCACAAAAUUAAAGACUAUUACAUGAUAUUAUGGUAUCAGCAGCUGAAGGGUGACAGUGCACUUAAUCUUAUUGGAAAUGUGUAUUACACAAAUCCAACCACCGAAAACCAAUAUAAAAAUCAGUUUACCAUCGGAGGAAAUGGAGCAGAAUCCUCUACUCUUAAUGUAACAUUAGAAAGAGAACAUGUUGGGAGUACUGCAGUAUAUUACUGUGCUGCCAGUAAAGCACAGUGUGGAAGAUCCUUUAAUCACUCUUACAAAAACCUUCUGUUAAACCCUGUCACCACAACAUUAUUAGCACCUGAAUGCACCCAUACACCCCCAAACAUGAUCACUCAGUGCACCCAUAUUAAGUUGUUGUAUGAUUAAUAUUAAAUUAAAAAUUAAAAAUUUAAUUUAUGCAUUUAGCAGAUGCUUUUAUCCAAAGCGACUUACAGUGCAUUCAGGCUAUCAAUUUUUACCUAUCAUGUAUUUCCAGGGAUCAAACCCCCAACCUUGCACUUGUUAACGCAAUGCUCUACCACUUGAGCUACAGAAACAGAUAUUAUACGCUAUUAUGUCACUAAGCAUUUAAUUCAUAUAUACAAUUAUAAAUUUUAUUGUUUUUAAAAUAAUUUCAUAUAUAAUUCAGCUAUCUCCAUUGCUGUUAAUUGCUUGCCUUAUCCGUUACUUAUUAUUUUUUGACACUUGUAUUUUUUAAAGUGUAAAGUGAAAUUGAUGAUGCAGUCACUGUAAUUCUUAUCAUGCAUCUACAACGUACAUGCGUUCAUUUAUUUAUUUUUAUUUAUUUUUUGAAUGAGGGACUAAUCUAUUCCAGCAUUAUAUGUCCAUUCCACUAGAUGUCCUCACAGAAAACUCUAGCUACUGAGUUUCUUGACUCAUAAAAACUAAAAUCUUCUUCUAUUACAGUAUGUAAACAAAAAUAACUUAUUUAAAUUGUUAUUUAUUUAUUUAUUAUUUUUUUAAGAAUCAUUGAGACUAAUUGUUUUUAAUUAA
ensembl:lncRNA